ACUUUUGCGCAGUGGCUGUAUCGUAGCCAAUGAGGUCUCACCGAGGCCGAUUAUUGCUUAUCAUUAAUAUUAUUAUUAAUAUUAUUAUUAAAAGUUUCUACUUAUUGCUGUAUAUGUAUAAAUGCA